rnacentral:rRNA from 1 species
GACGUAGGGGGCAAGCGUUGUUCGGAAUUAUUGGGCGUAAAGCGCUCGUAGGCGGGACUGGAAGUCCGUGUUGAAAGACCUCGGCUCAACUGAGGGACCGGCGCGGAUACUCUAGUUCUUGAGGCAAUCAGAGGGUGAUGGAAUUCCCGGUGUAGCGGUGAAAUGCGUAGAUAUCAGGAGGAACACCGGUGGCGAAGGCGGGUCUCUGGGCCGUUACUGACGCUGAGGAGCGAAAGCGUGGGGAGCGAACAGG